CUAACAUAAGUGCAUGUGAUAAUAUAAUAAUAUUUAGUUGCAAUCUUCACUUUGCUCUUCUUUUCCAUUUAUUGGUGUGAAAAAUGAAUGUGUUUUAUUGCUUACUUAAUUGAGAAUCUAUAGCAGUUGAAAUCUGGCCAUAGAAUCAAUGAUCGAAAAGGUGACGCCGGCUCUGUAUGCUUUCAAAAGGACCUGAACGUGAAACAGAUGAUGUUGUGACCUCAUCGGAUAAACAAGGGUUAACACAACCAACAUUGGUAAAAACAUCCUCGACACAGGUGACAUCAACAUAUUGACAUACACAACCUAUUUCUCAUGUGCACUUAACAGAGGCAGUCUGGGUAAACAGCUUUAUCAUAACCAUAGGAUGACAUAAUGAC
rnacentral:lncRNA from 1 species